rnacentral:lncRNA from 10 species
UUUCAAGUGCCGGAGACAGAUGCUUUGGACAGGCUUAGGUUUAUCCCUUCCUGCAACAAAAGUUAUAGGUCCAAUGGGUCCCUCCAUCUAAGAUGGCUUAUUCUAAAAUAAAACUUCUUUCUAAGGCCUGUUUUCAUUGUUCUCAAUAUUCCAGUGAUGAAAAACUGGAUAGAACCAUAAACACUUCAAAGGAUGAGAAAUCCACAUGGGCUGGAGUCCUAGCCAGAGUCCUUGCCAAGAUCACUUUCCUCAGAGGAUUUUCAUGCUCUUCCUUUCUUUGGGGAAUCAAAUUUCCCAGCCACCUCAGCCCAAGACGUGCUGUAGUUACAUGUACUCACUUUGUGGCUUUAUAUUAAGAGCGUGAAGCCAUCUAGCUGAAUCAAAAUGGAGCUGCUGCCUGCCUACAGAUUUUUUAUGUGGGUGAACAUUAUUGUUUUUUAGAGAGUGAAAACUAGAUCCUGGGACAGCACUGGACACACACAGAUGUUUGAGAACUACUGUUCCCAAUCUAUGAAUGAGGCUGUAACUUUUCAACCUGCAAAUUCACUUCAGAUAUUUAAGAAGAACCUUCUAAGUGAAAAUAUGAAAGUGAACAAAAGCUUUCCUUUUUAAAUACACUUGUGUAACCAAUUGUUUGGAACAAGUCACCAAUGAUGCCUUACUUCAGUUCACUAUUCUUUCAAAUAAAAGAUGUAUUUGUGAAAUUAUAAUCAUUCAAAUAGCCAUUUUGAGGGCUAUGUUUUUUUUUUUUUUCAGUCACAAAUCUAAGUGACCCUGAGAAUUGUAAAAAGAUACUAUGGAAAUAUCAAUAGUGUUUUUAUGUUUUGAGCCAAUGAUUUUAAACUUCCACUUGCUAAAAAAAAUCAAGAAAGAUGAAGUAUGAAAACAAGCACGUAGAUCUUUCUUUUGUAUUACAUGUGUGUAACUAAGAAGCCAGUACUCAGAUAAAUGGCUACAAUCUUAAUAGCUCGCUCCUGGAAAGCCAAAACUGCAUUUCUCUUUUGUCAGGACUGGAAGCAUGUAAAUUGAUUGCCCAAUUAAGGAAAGGUUGACUGAAGGACACCAAAUCUCUGUAAAAGACAGCCCGCUUCCUGAAGCCUCGUCUAGUGGAGGGAGGUUCUGACAUACUGUUUUGUUCAGGCUGGUCCUCCACCCCAAGAAUGGAGCUCUGCUUCCUACCCUACCUACCUAAGGACUACUCUCCAAAGGAGUACAAGAACCCAAGCCAGUUCACUGCAAGGCAGGUUAUGCUGGAUGCCUUUUUGGGCAGGAUGUAAGGCCUGUUUCCUACCUUAUUUCCAUUUUGUGUGGUGGUCUGAUAUAAGGCUUUGCUUGUGGGCAGUGUUGUAGCACUGGUUAUAGCUGAAACUGCCCCAUGAGGACAGGCUCCUUCAUCAGUUAACCCACUUACCAUAGAAGUUGGACCCUCCUUACCAAAUUUGUCUCUAGUAAACGGUGUUAUGAGGUUCUAGCCUAGAUUUAAUAAAUUUACAUCGUAUGCUUCCCCA